rnacentral:rRNA from 1 species
GAUGAACGCUAGCUACAGGCUUAACACAUGCAAGUCGAGGGGAAACGAUAGAGAAAGCUUGCUUUUUCUAGGCGUCGACCGGCGCACGGGUGAGUAACGCGUAUCCAACCUGCCCAUCACUUGGGGAUAACCUUGCGAAAGUAAGACUAAUACCCAAUGAUAUCUCUAGAAGACAUCUGAAAGAGAUUAAAGAUUAUCGGUGAUGGAUGGGGAUGCGUCUGAUUAGCUUGUUGGCGGGGUAACGGCCCACCAAGGCGACGAUCAGUAGGGGUUCUGAGAGGAAGGUCCCCCACAUUGGAACUGAGACACGGUCCAAACUCCUACGGGAGGCAGCAGUGAGGAAUAUUGGUCAAUGGACGAGAGUCUGAACCAGCCAAGUAGCGUGCAGGAUGACGGCCCUAUGGGUUGUAAACUGCUUUUAUAAGGGAAUAAAGUGAGUCUCGUGAGACUUUUUGCAUGUACCUUAUGAAUAAGGACCGGCUAAUUCCGUGCCAGCCGCCGCAGUAACAC